rnacentral:rRNA from 1 species
UACGGGGGAUGCAAGCGUUAUCCGGAAUCAUUGGGCGUAAAGCGCCUGUAGGUUGUUUAAUAAGUCUGUUGUUAAAGACUAGGGCCUAACCCUAGAAAAGCAAUGGAAACUACUAGACUAGAGUAUGGCAGGGGUAGAGGGAAUUUCUAGUGUAGCGGUGAAAUGCGUAGAUAUUAGAAAGAACACCGGUGGCGAAAGCGCUCUACUGGACCAUUACUGACACUCAGAGGCGAAAGCUAGGGUAGCAAAAGGGAUUAGAUACCCCUGUAGUCCUAGCCGUAAACGAUGGAUACUAGAUGUUGUGCUUAAUGUACAGUAUCGUAGCUAACGCGUUAAGUAUCCCGCCUGGGGAGUACGCUCGCAAGGGUG